CUUACAACACCCGUUCCUCACUCACAACUUUCAUACUUCACACUAAAAUUGUAACAUUUCCUUCUCGAAUUUGCAGCUAUACAUCCCUCUCCACCAACCAUUCCAUUUCUCAGUAUACACAUUUGAUAUGGAGAACGAGAAGAUUCAGAUCAUGGAUCCCUUUAGAGAUACAAGCAAAGGAGGGCAGGACGUUGACGAUAGGCACUCUAAGACUAAAGAACAUAUUGCGAAAGCACUGCAGGAUUGCAUGGUCAUCUCUUUUCCGAACUGGAAAAACGAUAUUACAAGGUGGCAGCAUGAGUUCCCCACAAAUAUUCCAGCAACUACAAACAGGUGAUGCAUAUUAAAAAACCAGAUGUAAGAGCUCCACGUUAACUGUGCUUGACUACUCAUUGUUUAUUUUGCACGAUUGAUACUGCUUUCCACGUUCUGCACAUCAUGAGAAAUUGGGAUGCAAAAUGCUUAGUCAAUCCAGCCUCCAGUGCAUCUCGAGAUUUACGGAAAGUCUUCCUUGCCAACCUCCUGUCGUUCACAAGUAAUGAGGCCAUACUCCCAGAAAAUGUCACCCGCUUCAUCAAAGCGCUCAGGAGGAACUGAUAUCACAUCUAGCAUGCAUCAACGAAUAAUAAAUAGAGACCAGCUCAACGAACAUUUUUUAUUUCAUGAUGUACUAAAGAACAUACUUCCUUUUACUUUCGAUGAAUAUAUACUACAUUUGGUUGAAUAUUCUACCUUUUUCA